rnacentral:rRNA from 1 species
CCUACGGGAGGCAGCAGCGGGGAACCUUCGGGAGGCAGCACUAGGGAAUAUUGCACAAUGGGCGAAAGCCUGAUGCAGCAACGCCGCGUGUGCGAUGAAGGCCUUCGGGUUGUAAAGCACUUUUCUGAGGGAAGAGGAAGGACGGUACCUCAGGAAUAAGUCUCGGCUAACUACGUGCCAGCAGCCGCGGUAAU